UACGGGGGGAGCAAGCGUUGUUCGGAUUUACUGGGCGUAAAGGGCGCGUAGGCGGUCACUACAAGUCAGUUGUGAAAUCUCUGGGCUUAACUCAGAACGGUCAACUGAUACUGUUGGACUAGAGUGCAGAAGGGGCAACUGGAAUUCUCGGUGUAGCGGUGAAAUGCGUAGAUAUCGAGAGGAACACCUGCGGCGAAGGCGGGUUGCUGGGCCGACACUGACGCUGAGGCGCGAAAGCCAGGGGAGCGAACGGG
rnacentral:rRNA from 1 species